ACGAACGCUGGCGGCUGCUUAACACAUGCAAGUCGAACGGAGUGGCGAACGGGUGAGUAACGCGUGAGCAACCUGCCUAUGACAGUUGGAUAGCCUCGGGAAACCGGGAUUAAUACCGCAUAGUCAUAGAUGGGCUCGCGUCUGAUUAGUUAUUUGUUGAGAUAACAGCCCACCAAAGCUACGAUCAGUAGCCGGUCUGUGAGGAUGAACGGCCACAUUGGAACUGAGACACAGUCCAGACUCCUACGGGAGGCAGCAGUGGGGAAUAUUGCACAAUGGGGGAAACCCUGAUGCAGCGACGCCGCGUGAACGAAGAAGGUAUUCGUAUCGGAAAGUUCUGUCCUAUGGGAAGCAGUACCAUAGAAGAAAGCACCGGCUAAAUACGUGCCAGCAGCCGCGGUAAUAC
rnacentral:rRNA from 1 species